rnacentral:rRNA from 1 species
ACCGGCGGCUCGAGUGGUGGCCACUAUUACUGGGCUUAAAGCGUUCGUAGCUGGCUUGUUAAGUCUCUGGGGAAAUCUUCCGGCUCAACCGGAAGGCGUCUCAGGGAUACUGGCAGGCUAGGGACCGGAAGAGGUGAGAGGUACUCCAGGGGUUGGGGUGGAAACCCGGUAUCCCUUGGGGGCCACCUGGGGCGGAGGCGGCUCACCAGGUAGGCUCCGGCAGUGGGGAACGAAAACUGGGGGAGCAAACCG